CACCCAGGACUGGCAUGGCGAGGAGGAGGGGCCGCCACCAGCUGUCCCGUUCCCCUCCUCCUCGCCUCGGCCAUCCCUGUCCUCGCCUCUUCCCACCUGCCGCACACUUACUUGGUGGGCUGUACGGCGACGUAGUUCCUGAUGUGUGAAAUAUCUCCCACCGACGAAAAAAAAAAAAAAACACCUUCCACUGACGCUUCUGCGAAUGCGUCGUACCGUGGACCUGCUGACUGCUGACACGCGACAACUGAGUAAACAAAGAUGGCGGGAUGGAGGAACACGUGCGUCGGUCACUCCACAUCCACUGUCCAUCACUAGCAGACCUACUGAGUGGUUCUUAAGACACUCAAGCACACCAGGGUCCUCCUCCAGAAGAUUGGACAGCUGGCCAGAAUCUAACCAGAUAACCUGCCUGCUGCCAGCACCUUCGGGGCAAGAUGGUGGAGACGUCAUAACAGGGAGGCCAGCUACGUGUGGGAGCGACAUAUCUUCAAGGGAGGAUGAGGAUCUGAAGGUGGAGACAAAAUUUGUCCUUGUUUUCAAGAAAGGCUACAGGACUUCAUGAAUGAUGUGCUGCCUGGAGCUACGGCAGGAUCCAGCGGGUGACGUCUUGCCCCUCAAAGGACACCCAUGCUCAUGAAGUUCCAAAUCUCCAACCUGCUCUAGCUCAGGUAUGGAUGGACACACUACAAUUUGAAGCAGCCCCACAGUUAUUGGCCAAGCAUAGUUAGAGAAUAGGAUCACGAGGGCAGUGGUUUGGAAGGGGCAGCAAAGAGGGUUGUGUAUCAUUGUUGUGUAACCCAAGGGUGUGGAGUGUAAAUAUAUACAUUUAUAAGUUUAUUUGUUGGAGUAAGAGUGAGGGCCAGCAAUAACCCAGGAAUAAAGCAUGCAAAGUUGGUUGGAUUGUAAGGUUAGGGUUAGGUUGUGUUGGUUACAGGGGGGUAAGGAGGUACCAGGGGAGAGAGAGAGAGAGAGAGAGAGAGAGAGAGAGAGAGAGAGAGAGAGAGAGAGAGAGAGAGAGAGAGAGAGAGAGAGAGAGAGAGAG